CCUACGGGAGGCAGCAGUGGGGGAUAUUGGACAAUGGGGGAAACCCUGAUCCAGCGACGCCGCGUGAGUGAAGAAGUAUCUCCGUAUUUUAAACCCUUUUAGUAGGGAAGCAAGAAAUGACGGUACCUGAGUAAGAAGCAGCGGCUAACUACGUGCCAGCAGCCGCGGUAAUACGGAGGGGGCAAGCGUUAUCCGGAAUUACUGGGUGUAAAGGGGGCGUAGACGGUAAUGCAAGUCGGGGGUGAAAGGCGGGGGCCCACCCCCCGGACUGCACUGGAAACUGUGUAACUGGAGUGCAGGAGAGGCAGGCGGAAUUCCUGGUGUAGCGGUGAAAUGCGUAGAUAUUAGGAGGAACACCAGUGGCGAAGGCGGCAUGCUGGACUGUAACUGACGUUGAGGCACGAAAGCGUGGGGAGCGAACAGGAUUAGAUACCCUUGUAGUC
rnacentral:rRNA from 1 species